rfam:Oryza sativa Japonica Group DNA, chromosome 5, cultivar: Nipponbare, complete sequence.
AAAAAGACAAACCACGAGUUUCCGUGUCCAACUUUGACUGUCCGUCUUAUAUGAAAUUUUUUUAUAAUUCGUAUUUUCAUUGUUGUUAGAUGAUAAAACAUGAUUAAUAUUUUAUGUGUGACUUAUCUUUUUAAUUUUUUUCAUAAUUUUUUUAAAUAAGAUGAACGGUCAAACGUUAAGCACGGAAACCAGGGUUUGUCUUUUU